AUUGAACGCUGGCGGCAUGCCUUACACAUGCAAGUCGAACGGUAACAGGUCUUCGGAUGCUGACGAGUGGCGAACGGGUGAGUAAUACAUCGGAACGUGCCUAGUAGUGGGGGAUAACUACUCGAAAGAGUGGCUAAUACCGCAUGAGAUCUACGGAUGAAAGCAGGGGAUCGCAAGACCUUGUGCUACUAGAGCGGCCGAUGGCAGAUUAGGUAGUUGGUGGGAUAAAAGCUUAACAAGCCGACGAUCUGUAGCUGGUCUGAGAGGACGAUCAGCCCCACUGGGACUGGGACACGGCCCAGACUCCUACGGGAGGCAGCAGUGGGGAAUUUUGGACAAUGGGCGCAAGCCUGAUCCAGCAAUGCCGCGUGCAGGAUGAAGGCCUUCGGGUUGUAAACUGCUUUUGUACGGAACGAAAAGCCCCGGGUUAAUACCCUGGGGUCAUGACGGUACCGUAAGAAUAAGCACCGGCUAACUACGUGCCAGCCGCCGCGGUAA
rnacentral:rRNA from 1 species